rnacentral:sRNA from 1 species
CUGCUACAAUUAAGCAUGUAAUUGAUCAUCACAGAAUUGCAAAUUUCGAAACUGCUGGUCCUUUAUGUUAUCGUGCUGAACCAGUUGGUUGUACAGCUACAAUUUUAUACAAAAUGUUUAGAGAACGUGGCUUUGAAAUUAAACCUGAAAUUGCCGGUUUAAUGUUAUCAGCAAUUAUCUCAGAUAGCUUACUUUUCAAAUCACCAACAUGUACACAACAAGAUGUUAAAGCAGCUGAAGAAUUAAAAGAUAUUGCUAAAGUUGAUAUUCAAAAGUACGGCUUAGAUAUGUUAAAAGCAGGUGCUUCAACAACUGAUAAAUCAGUUGAAUUCUUAUUAAACAUGGAUGCUAAAUCAUUUACUAUGGGUGAC